rnacentral:rRNA from 1 species
AUUGAACGCUGGCGGCAGGCCUAACACAUGCAAGUCGAGCGAGCGGCGGACGGGUGAGUAAUGUCUGGGAAUCUGCCUGAUGGAGGGGGAUAACUACUGGAAACGGUAGCUAAUACCGCAUACCAUCGGAUGUGCCCAUAUGGGAUUAGCUAGUAGGUGGGGUAAAGGCUCACCUAGGCGACGAUCGCUAGCUGGUCUGAGAGGAUGAUCAGCCACACUGGAACUGAGACACGGUCCAGACUCCUACGGGAGGCAGCAGUGGGGAAUAUUGCACAAUGGGCGCAAGCCUGAUGCAGCCAUGACGCGUGUGUGAAGAAGGCCUUCGGGUUGUAAAGCACUUUCAGCGAGGAGGCGUUACCCGCAGAAGAAGCACCGGCUAACUCCGUGCCAGCAGCCGCGGUAAUAC